GCCGCGGCGAUAGCUCAGUGGGUAAACCGACAGUUGAGAAGAUGGCGAUUACUCCGAGAGCGCGGGUUCGAAUCCCGCCUGUGGUA